rnacentral:rRNA from 1 species
AUACGGAGGAUGCGAGCGUUAUCCGGAUUUAUUGGGUUUAAAGGGUGCGUAGGCGGGCUGUUAAGCGUGAGGUGAAAGCUCGGGGCUCAACCCCGGAACUGCCUCGCGAACUGGCGGUCUUGAAUGUCCGUGCCGUGGGAGGAAUGUGUGGUGUAGCGGUGAAAUGCAUGGAUAUCACACAGAACACCGAUUGCGAAGGCAUCUCACAAAUCCGUGAUUGACGCUGAGGCACGAAAGUGUGGGGAUCGAACAGGAUUAGAUACCCUGGUAGUCCACACUGUAAACGAUGAUAACUCGCUGUUGGCGAUAUACAGUCAGUGGCCAAGCGAAAGCGAUAAGUUAUCCACCUGGGGAGUACGUCGGCAACGAUGAAACUCAAAUGAAUUGACGGGG